GUUUUUCAUUCUGUGACCCAAUGUUUUAUUCUGUCGUGUAUUCCCUUUUUUUGGUGCAAAAAAACCUAACUCAUUUUUUAGACGCCUCGGUCGUCUGUGGAUCUUUUUGACAUCCUUGGUCUCUCCCAAAAAAGAAAAUUAACCGACGUACCCUUCCCUAUCGCAUUUGCAACAUGUGUUGUGAUUUUGAUGACUGUAAUGAUGUGGACAUUAUGUUCUUCGGAUACAAGCAGACUUGCAUAUGGAUAUGACUUUAAAGAGUUUAUCGACAAUUUGGGAAUAGUGGUAAAAGUUUGCUGCCUUGGACUUGGGGUUUCUGAUACGGCGUUAUAUUGGUUUCGCCAUUUUGUGGACGUAUUUGUUUGGACUAUGCUGGUAGGUGUUGUCUUACUGACAGCUGUAGGCAUAGGAUAUAUUUGGUAAAAACCAUUUUUUUGGUAAAAAUGAAUCACCUUUUCGAAAAUUUUGGAAAUGCAAGAAAGUAAACUAAUCGGUCUGUAACUACUCGGUAAUUGCGCGUUUUUACUUGGUUUCAAAAUGGGUACUACUUUUGCGAUUUUGAAAGAUUGGGGAUAAUGAUUUAAUUUGAACAUUGCAUUAAUUAAAUUUGUUAACUGUACUAAAGCUUUACGUGAAAAAUUUUUAAUUACUUUAUUUUCGAUUUCGUCUAGCCCCGGGGCUUUGUUAUUGGGGAAUUUUUUAAUUAUUUCUGCAAUUUUAGUUGGGUUUGUUAAAAUUCGUGAUAGAUAGUGUUGUGAAUUUAUCUGCUCGCGAUUUUGAUUUAUGAAUUCUUCAACUUGCCUUUUAAUAUCAUUUUGUUCGUUAUUGAAAUUUUGAUCUGCUCUAUGUACUGAAAGUUGUGCCAGUUGGUAUUUUUGAAAGAAGUUAUUUGUCAGUUGUCGUUAUCUUUACGGAGAUUAGAAAUUUUGAAAAUUACCGGAUUAUGGUCGGAAUUUAGUUCUGAAAGAGACUGAGGGUCAUUUUCCA